GUCCAAAUAUUCAGGCCUGGGGUCUGCUGGAUCAGCUUGGUUUGGAAUCAGUGGCCCAGCAUAACUCUGUUCCUGUUGGUAGUUGCAGUCGAACCCUUGUGGCGAUAGGAGUGCAAAGUAAAUCUAACGCCGAGGUGGUUCUCCAUCUAAAAGGUAAGGCUUCAACUUUUCGGGCAGACCCAAAAAUUGAUGGGCGUGACAGAAACGAAGUGGUAGUGGAAGUGGGAAGUCUAGAUUCUGGCAGCGGUGGUCUUUCCUAAAAGAAAAUAUUUCAAUAACAAAAACAGUGCUCCUCCUUUAAACAAUACUUUGGGUCCGUCUUCGAUGGGGUUUUCCGGUUCAGGAAACGGAAUUAGAAACAAAGGCAGAGGAAUUACUAAAAAACAUAAUAAAAUUCUUCAUGGAAAUAAUAAUCGAUUCAAAAC
rnacentral:lncRNA from 1 species